AUUGAACGCUGGCGGCAUGCCUUACACAUGCAAGUCGAACGGUAACAGGUCUUCGGAUGCUGACGAGUGGCGAACGGGUGAGUAAUACAUCGGAACGUGCCCAGACGUGGGGGAUAACGAGGCGAAAGCUUUGCUAAUACCGCAUACGAUCUAAGGAUGAAAGCAGGGGACCGCAAGGCCUUGUGCGUUUGGAGCGGCCGAUGGCAGAUUAGGUAGUUGGUGGGAUAAAAGCUUACCAAGCCGACGAUCUGUAGCUGGUCUGAGAGGACGACCAGCCACACUGGGACUGAGACACGGCCCAGACUCCUACGGGAGGCAGCAUUGGGGAAUUUUGGACAAUGGGCGAAAGCCUGAUCCAGCAAUGCCGCGUGCAGGAUGAAGGCCUUCGGGUUGUAAACUGCUUUUGUACGGAACGAAAAGGCUCUGGCUAAUACCUGGGGCACAUGACGGUACCGUAAGAAUAAGCACCGGCUAACUACGUG
rnacentral:rRNA from 1 species